rnacentral:rRNA from 1 species
UACGGGGGGGGCAAGCGUUGUUCGGAAUUACUGGGCGUAAAGGGCUCGUAGGUGGCCAACUAAGUCAGACGUGAAAUCCCUCGGCUUAACCGGGGAACUGCGUCUGAUACUGGAUGGCUUGAGUUUGGGAGAGGGAUGCGGAAUUCCAGGUGUAGCGGUGAAAUGCGUAGAUAUCUGGAGGAACACCGGUGGCGAAGGCGGCAUCCUGGACCAACACUGACGCUGAGGCGCGAAAGCCAGGGGAGCGAACGGG